GCUGGAAUUGCUAGUAAUGGCAGGUCAGCAUACUGCCGUGAAUACGUUCCCGGGCCUUGUACACACCGCCCGUCACACCAUGAGAGUUGGGAAUACCCGAAGCCUGUGAGCUAACAUUUAUGAGGCAGCAGUCGAAGGUAGAAUCAAUGAUUGGGGUGAAGUCGUAACAAGGUAUC
rnacentral:rRNA from 1 species